CUGGACAUGGGCACCUCUGGUUGCAGAUUUCCCCAGGCAGGAUGGAGGUUGUCCCAGGAGGGCUGCAGCCACGUGUCCCUGUGCAAGCGCAUUUUAAUGUGAAAACCUGGGUGUUUUACUGUGAAAACCUUGGCGUCGAGUGCCACGGAUGGAGCCCCAGAGGUCCAGGAUGGCCCCGUGUCCCCACCCUCUGUUCCUCCUCCCCAACCCCAGCACUUCCCUGCCUCUGGCUAUCGAUCGGGGCCCCCCGGCGACUGCACACGGGGGACUUCAACUCUUGUCCUCUGCCACCGAGGAGAUCUUUAAGCCAGUAAUAACGUGAGACAGAGGGAAAUGAACAGC